UACAGGGGGCUAGCGUUGUCCGGAUUUCUUGGGCGUAAAGAGCGUGUAGGCGGCCCGGUAAGUCUGUUGUGAAAGUCCAGGGCUCAACCCUGGAAUGCCGAUGGAUACUGCCGGGCUAGAGUUCGGAAGAGGCGAGUGGAAUUCCUGGUGUAGCGGUGGAAUGCGCAGAUAUCAGGAGGAACACCUAUAGCGAAGGCAGCUCGCUGGGACGACACUGACGCUGAGACGCGAAAGCGUGGGGAGCGAACAGG
rnacentral:rRNA from 1 species